UUGUCACACAUCACCCACGUAAUUUAUUUGUUUAUCUGUCGUAAUUUUAGUAUAGAUUUUAUUUUACUUGUCAUCUCUAAACUGUGAUUUUUUUAGUAUUGUACACUUUUAAUUUUCAGUGACACAAAUAGACACAAUUUUCAAACAUAUUUCUGAAGGUCUUUCAUUUUCUGAAAAGAAAAAGAAAAUACUGUAGGUGCAAAAUAUAUAUUUAUACAUGACUUAAUGUGAUUGUACUAUUUUUAUUUUAUUUUUGUUAAUAUUUUAGCAUGUGCUCUAUUUUGGCUCCCAUGCAGACUAUAAACUUUACAAUAUAAAAAACAUAUAACUUAUGAACAAUAAAAGGCAUACUAAUUCUGUCUUUGUUUCUGUUUCAGAUCGCUGAAAUCACAGUAUAAAAACAUCCAAGAAGAUCCUGAUUCAUGCUAAUUAUUAUUUAUUUAUGAAGUAACCAACUUUCUGUUUUCAAUAAUCUGAUAUAUUUUAUAAAAUGUUCUAAGAGUGAGCUAUUCCUGUAUAAAGAGUGAUAAAAUGUGUUGAACCACUUCUGUACUUUGUCAUUUUGCAAAUAAAUUCUAAAGAUGUAAACGUGUGUUUUCAUCGAUUAAGUGAAAGAAAACAAUGUUUCCUUGCUUCUCUGUGAGUCUAAGUUUGACUCGGUGAACUGCAGCAGGACGGUUUUAUUUCUCCCAGCUGAAGUGACGCUGAAGCUCGGGAGGCGUUGGCCUGCAGCUCUAUCAGUCGCUUGCACGUUUCUCUGACUGUCUGUAAGGCCAUCAGACGCACACUUUCACCCACCCAGUUACAACUGCCACUUAUUCCCUCCGAUUUUACACCAUUCAAAGCCUCCCGCUGCACAAACGACUUCAACAUGUUUGCUUCUGUGUUUUUGGUCGUCCUGGGAUUGUGCUGCUGCACAAAAGACAGCAAUCAGUUCCAACUGGACCAGCCACGACUCCACGGCCCCUCGCAAGCUUUGGUAGACGAUGUCAUUCCCUUGGUGUGUGAAAUUCCCAGUUCAGAAAGUAAUGAACCGAUUCUUCUGACAUUAUACAGGAAGGAUGACCGUAAACAAAUGUUUGGAGAGUACACCCUCUCAGCCGGGGAGGAGAUGGGAAUCUUUCCCCAGCUUAUCAAAGUUGAGCAUGAGGGCUACUUCGAGUGUGUGGCCAGCGCACAAAACAACACGGAGAUAAACGAGACUGUCAGCGAAGCACACUUCUUAAGGGUUAUUGUGCCAGUCGUCGACGCUGCGAUUGUUUACACAGGUCCAACAGAGAUCUAUGAGGAAACCAAGAUAGAGCUGCAAUGCAAAGUUAAAUCUGGAAAUCAUGUUUCCUACAACUGGUUUCUCAAUGGGUGCCUCGUCUCUCCGUCUCCUGUCCGCUGGAUUGGAGACAACCGGUUAAUAAUCACCAGAGUGUCCUCUAAAGAUGGCGGCUCCUACAUGUGUCAGGCUAAAAACGUCUUCAACGAAACGAGAUGGUUCGCCUCCAACAGCUCCGACCUCGUUAUCGCAGUGAAAGAUCUGGUGUCGACCCCGGACAUCUCAUUCACCGUGGUGAAGGAGGAUCAUGGCAACUAUUCAGCCAGCAUCACCUGCCAGUCUGAGAGAGGCGAUCCACCGAUAAGCUUCUCGCUCUACAUGGGCAUGGAGCUGAUGGUCAGGAAGAACGUUUCAGAGAGACACGCCACGUUCAGUCUUCCAGUGGUCCUGGACCAGCACUCUGGAUGGCUGCAGUGUCUGGCCAGGAACGGGAACCAGACUGAAUACAGUCGAUGGUUGCCUCUUGAAGUUGUGUCAGUCGCUGGCCCAGUGACGGUCCAAUCUGAAUACGACAUGGGAAAUAACUAUGCCGUCAUUGGCCUCAGGCUCUACUGCAAGGCGGCAGCGGGAACUCACCCACGUUUCCAGUGGUACCUCAACCAAAUGCCUCUACGUGAGCAGGGAAGCUUCUUCUAUGUGGUGGAUCUGCCAGAACAGUCCGUCCUGCUGCUGGCCGUGGGGAGACGGAGCUCUGGAAAGUACCGCUGCGAAGUGUGGAACAGCUUCGACAACAGCACGGUCAUAAGCAGCAAAGGGCUUUAUGUGGACAAAGAAGUGCUGAAUCGCCUUCCAACCUUAGUGGUGGCUGUGGUCUUCAGCUGUUUCACGCUCCUGAUUUUCCUGGUGUUGUUUUGUUGUCUGUCAGGAGUCAUCUUCAGGUGGAAACUGUCUCAACAGAAGUCAGAGUGAGUGUUUGGUUUUUUUUUCCAUUUAUUGGAAAACAAAAUAAUCCAAAAUGUUUGGGGAAAAGAUAAUGAAUGACAUCAUAGACUUAAAGUGAAAAUUAAAAUGUCUCUAUUCCAGUUUUCUAUAAGCGUCACAGCUGCUUUUAAAAGAAUAGAUUACAGUUUGUGAAGCGAGGUUCUGUUAAAAUAAUAUUACCCAUAGAUUCGUCUCUUGCCGUCUUCAUGUGGGUUAAAUCCAGCUCCCACAAAAUUCAUUCAGAACUUCCCUCAUUAGUUUUGACCAUAAUUCAGUACAAGAAUAAAGUGAUGGAGAGUUAGGAUUACUAAUUGCCAGAAUAUUUUUUGUUAUGAACCUAAAGAUGAAAUCAAAAGAAGGUGACUGAACCUAGUAAGAGUGUUGUUACUUAUUAGCCACAGUGUAGCAAGUCCUGUACUAACAUGGGCUGAAAGGCCAUUUAAUGAGGAAAAUGCCAUUAGUCCACAAGCAGAAUAAAAAAAAAACAAGGUUACAAUUGCAAAAGGACUCAGGGAUAAAUCUUUUGCUUUUUGCAAACGUGUCUUGUGAUCUAGUGAAAUAGAAACUAAUCUAAAAUUUUCGCAAACAGACGUAGAUUCGCAAUCUUGACUGACCUAAAACAGCGAGGUGUUUAGUCUGAUUUGAUGUCAGAUUUAA